GCCUGGCUGGCUCAGUCGCUGGAGCGUGUGGCUCUUGAUCUCAGGGUUGUGGGUUCGAGCCCCAUGUUGGGCA
rnacentral:tRNA from 1 species